AGGAGCAACUUAUCAACGGCUGGU
rnacentral:siRNA from 1 species